rnacentral:misc_RNA from 1 species
UCUGCCUUAUCGGCAAGCGGUCUCCCUAGAGUGCCCAACUUAAUGCUGGCAACUAAGGACAAGGGUUGCGCUCGUUGCGGGACUUAACCCAACAUCUCACGACACGAGCUGACGACAGCCAUGCAGCACCUGUAUCCGCGUCUCUUGCGAGAACCCCCACUUUCAUGGGGUAGCACGGUAUGUCAAGCCUAGGUAAGGUUUUUCGCGUUGCGUCGAAUUAAACCACAUACUCCACCGCUUGUGCGGGCCCCCGUCAAUUUCUUUGAGUUUUAAUCUUGCGACCGUACUUCCCAGGCGGGAGACUUAACGCGUUAGCUACGACACCGAACGGGUAAGACCGCUCGACGUCUAGUCUCCAUAGUUUACGGCGUGGACUAC